UAAGAAGAUGAGAAAGAAUCCUUUGAAAAGCUCCAAGAGUUCUUUGAAUGAGGCAAGGACUUCAAGCAAAUAUGAUAAUGAAGAGCCACUGGCUUCCAUUGCCAGAAGUAUUUCCAUGAGAACAAGAUGAGCAAGCAAAAGCAGCUAGCAGAAGACAUUCUGAGGUAUGGGGACAUAAAAAUUGCAGCAGAAGUGUUCACAUUUCGCGAGCUAGCCAAUGUGACAAACAACUUCAAUCCGGAGCUGUUAGUGGGGGAAGGAGGAAAGAUUAAGGUGAUAUAGGAGUCAAAACAUACGGAGACUAGUGAUAGAAAGAUGGGGCUCUCUCUUCAUUUUUCUCUUCUUUGUAAAACAUUGGCUAUGAAUAAUUUCUAUGUAUUUGUGUUGUAAAA